rnacentral:rRNA from 1 species
GACAGAGGUCCCGAGCGUUAGGCGGAAUCACUGGGCUUAAAGCGUGUGUAGGCGGAUUUGUAAGUACCUUGUGAAAUCCCACAGCUCAACUGUGGAACUGCUUGGUAUACUGCUUAUCUUGGGCCAUCUAGGGGCUACCGGAACAAGUGGUGGAGCGGUGAAAUGCGUAGAUAUCGGGAGGAACACCAGUGGCGAAGGCGGUUGCCUGGAGCUUUGCUGACGCUGAUGCGCGAAAGCGUGGGGAGCGAUCCGG